GACGAACGCUGGCGGCGUGCCUAAUACAUGCAAGUAGAACGCUGAAGGAGGAGCUUGCUUCUCUGGAUGAGUUGCGAACGGGUGAGUAACGCGUAGGUAACCUGCCUGGUAGCGGGGGAUAACUAUUGGAAACGAUAGCUAAUACCGCAUAAGAGUAGAUGUUGCAUGACAUUUGCUUAAAAGGUGCAAUUGCAUCACUACCAGAUGGACCUGCGUUGUAUUAGCUAGUUGGUGGGGUAACGGCUCACCAAGGCGACGAUACAUAGCCGACCUGGGAGGGGGAUCGGCCAAACUGGGACUGAGACACGGCCCAGACUCCUACGGGAGGCAGCAGUAGGGAAUCUUCGGCAAUGGACGGAAGUCUGACCGAGCAACGCCGCGUGAGUGAAGAAGGUUUUCGGAUCGUAAAGCUCUGUUGUAAGAGAAGAACGAGUGUGAGAGUGGAAAGUUCACACUGUGACGGUAGCUUACCAGAAAGGGACGGCUAACUACGUG
rnacentral:rRNA from 1 species